CUGGCUCAGGAUGAACGCUGGCGGCGUGCUAACACAUGCAAGUCGAACGAAGCACUUAAGAUGAUUCUUCGGAUUGAAUCUUUGUGACUUAGUGGCGGACGGGUGAGUAACGCGUGGGCAACCUGCCUCUGUCUGGGGGAUAACAGUUAGAAAUGACUGCUAAUACCGCAUAAGCGCACAUUACCGCAUGGUAGAGUGUGAAAAAACGUUAGUGGACAGAGAUGGACCCGCGUUAGAUUAGCCAGUUGGUGGGGUAACGGCCUACCAAAGCGACGAUCUAUAGCCGGCCUGAGAGGGCGACCGGCCACAUUGGGACUGAGACACGGCCCAAACUCCUACGGGAGGCAGCAGUGGGGAAUAUUGCACAAUGGGGGAAACCCUGAAUGCAGCGACGCCGCGUGAGUGAAGAAGUAUUUCGGUAUGUAAAGCUCUAUCAGCAGGGAAGAAAAUGACGGUACCUGACUAAGAAGCCCCGGCUAACUACGUGCCAGCCGCCGC
rnacentral:rRNA from 1 species